rnacentral:rRNA from 1 species
UACGUAGGUGGCAAGCGUUGUCCGGAAUUAUUGGGCGUAAAGCGCGCGCAGGCGGUUCCUUAAGUCUGAUGUGAAAGCCCCCGGCUCAACCGGGGAGGGUCAUUGGAAACUGGGGAACUUGAGUACUGAAGAGGAAAGCGGAAUUCCACGUGUAGCGGUGAAAUGCGUAGAGAUGUGGAGGAACACCAGUGGCGAAGGCGGCUUUCUGGUCAGUAACUGACGCUGAGGCGCGAAAGCUAGGGGAGCAAACGGG